GACGAACGCUGGCGGCGUGCUUAACACAUGCAAGUCGAACGGAAAGGCCCUGCUUUUGUGGGGUGCUCGAGUGGCGAACGGGUGAGUAACACGUGAGUAACCUGCCCUUGACUUUGGGAUAACUUCAGGAAACUGGGGCUAAUACCGGAUAGGAGCUCCUGCUGCAUAGUGGGGGUUGGAAAGUUUCGGCGGUUGGGGAUGGACUCGCGGCUUAUCAGCUUGUUGGUGGGGUAGUGGCUUACCAAGGCUUUGACGGGUAGCCGGCCUGAGAGGGUGACCGGACACAUUGGGACUGAGAUACGGCCCAGACUCCUACGGGAGGCAGCAGUGGAGAAUAUUACGGAAUAGGGUGAAGCCUGAUGCAGCAACGCCGCGUGCGGGAUGACGGCCUUCGGGUUGUAAACCGCUUUCGCCUGUGACGAAGCGUGAGUGACGGUAAUGGGUAAAGAAGCACCGGCUAACUACGUG
rnacentral:rRNA from 1 species